UACGUAGGGUGCGAGCGUUAAUCGGAAUUACUGGGCGUAAAGCGUGCGCAGGCGGUUUCGUAAGCCAGAUGUGAAAUCCCCGGGCUUAACCUGGGAAUGGCAUUUGGGACUGCAAGGCUUGAGUGCGGCAGAGGAGACUGGAAUUCCUGGUGUAGCAGUGAAAUGCGUAGAUAUCAGGAGGAACACCGAUGGCGAAGGCAGGUCUCUGGGCUGACACUGACGCUCAUGCACGAAAGCGUUGGGAGCAAACAGG
rnacentral:rRNA from 1 species